rnacentral:rRNA from 1 species
UACGUAGGGUACAAGCAUUAAUCGGAAUGAUUGGGCGUAAAGGGCGCGUAGGCGGCCCGGUAAGUCAGAUGUGAAAUUCCAAAGCUCAACUUUGGAGCUGCAUUUGAAACUGCUGGGCUAAAGAGGUAAGACGGAGAAAGCGGAAUUCCACGUGUAGCGGUGAAAUGCGUAGAUAUGUGGAGGAACACCUGUGGCGAAAGCGGCUUUCUAGUUUAACCUGACGCUGAGGCGCGAGAGCAAGGGGAGCAAACAGG